rnacentral:rRNA from 1 species
AAAUUGAAGAGUUUGAUCAUGGCUCAGAUUGAACGCUGGCGGCAGGCCUAACACAUGCAAGUCGAACGGUAACAGGAAGCAGCUUGCUGCUUUGCUGACGAGUGGCGGACGGGUGAGUAAUGUCUGGGAAACUGCCUGAUGGAGGGGGAUAACUACUGGAAACGGUGGCUAAUACCGCAUAACGUCGCAAGACCAAAGAGGGGGACCUUCGGGCCUCUUGCCAUCAGAUGUGCCCAGAUGGGAUUAGCUUGUUGGUGAGGUAACGGCUCACCAAGGCGACGAUCCCUAGCUGGUCUGAGAGGAUGACCAGCCACACUGGAACUGAGACACGGUCCAGACUCCUACGGGAGGCAGCAGUGGGGAAUAUUGCACAAUGGGCGCAAGCCUGAUGCAGCCAUGCCGCGUGUAUGAAGAAGGCCUUCGGGUUGUAAAGUACUUUCAGCGGGGAGGAAGGUGUUGUGGUUAAUAACCGCAGCAAUUGACGUUACCCGCAGAAGAAGCACCGGCUAACU